CUGAGUUAUCAAACUCCCAACCCAUUGUGAACUCUACCUAAUCGUUGCUUCGGCGGGGAGGCCCUCAGCGGCCUCGCGCCCCCCUCGGGGAGGCACCCCCGAGCGUCCAAACUAUAGCAUACAUUGUCCUCUCUGAGUAGCUUAUAAAAAUGAAGUCA
rnacentral:misc_RNA from 1 species